rnacentral:rRNA from 1 species
CCUACGGGUGGCUGCAGUGGGGAAUAUUGCACAAUGGGCGCAAGCCUGACGCAGCCAUGCCGCGUGUGUGAAGAAGGCCUUCGGGUUGUAAAGCACUUUCAGCGGGGAGGAAGGCGGUGAGGUUAAUAACCUCAUCGAUUGACGUUACCCGCAGAAGAAGCACCGGCUAACUCCGUGCCAGCAGCCGCGGUAAUACGGAGGGUGCAAGCGUUAAUCGGAAUUACUGGGCGUAAAGCGCACGCAGGCGGUCUGUCAAGUCGGAUGUGAAAUCCCCGGGCUCAACCUGGGAACUGCAUUCGAAACUGGCAGGCUAGAGUCUUGUAGAGGGGGGUAGAAUUCCAGGUGUAGCGGUGAAAUGCGUAGAGAUCUGGAGGAAUACCGGUGGCGAAGGCGGCCCCCUGGACAAAGACUGACGCUCAGGUGCGAAAGCGUGGGGAGCAAACAGGAUUAGAUACCCGUGUAGUC